rnacentral:rRNA from 1 species
GACGAACGCUGGCGGCGUGCUUAACACAUGCAAGUCGAACGGAAAGGCCCUGCUUUUGUGGGGUGCUCGAGUGGCGAACGGGUGAGUAACACGUGAGUAACCUGCCCUUGACUUUGGGAUAACUUCAGGAAACUGGGGCUAAUACCGGAUAGGAGCUCCUGCUGCAUGGUGGGGGUUGGAAAGUUUCGGCGGUUGGGGAUGGACUCGCGGCUUAUCAGCUUGUUGGUGGGGUAGUGGCUUACCAAGGCUUUGAUGGGUAGCCGGCCUGAGAGGGUGACCGGCCACAUUGGGACUGAGAUACGGCCCAGACUCCUACGGGAGGCAGCAGUGGGGAAUAUUGCACAAUGGGCGGAAGCCUGAUGCAGCAACGCCGCGUGCGGGAUGACGGCCUUCGGGCUGUAAACCGCUUUCGCCUGUGACGAAGCGUGAGUGACGGUAAUGGGUAAAGAAGCACCGGCUAACUACGUG